rnacentral:rRNA from 1 species
GUCCGCACAGUAAACGAUGAUAACUAGUUGUUUGCGAUAUACAGUAAGCGACCAAGCGAAAGCGAUAAGUUAUCCACCUGGGGAGUACGCCGGCAACGGUGAAACUCAAAGGAAUUGACGGGGGCCCGCACAAGCGGAGGAGCAUGUGGUUUAAUUCGAUGAUACGCGAGGAACCUUACCAGGGCUUGAAAGUUAAGGAAUGAUUAUGAAAGUAGUCAGUCAGCAAUGACCUAAAACUAGGUGCUGCAUGGCUGUCGU